CAACUAUUUAAAUCUCUUUGAUUUCCUAUUUACUUGUGAAGAUUUAUCAACCGAAAAAAAAACAAAAAAAGGAAGCAAAAGACGCAUAGAAGAGUAGUCAAAAUCUAGAACAUGGGCCUACUCCACUUGUUUCUAUUAUUUUUUGUUUUAAUUUUAUAGUUUUAUAGUUUUUUUUGAAAAUAAUUUGAAGAUUUGGAUCAUUACUUCCACCAUUCAAAUUUUUCCUGCAAACAAAUGGUUCCUUUCAC
rnacentral:lncRNA from 1 species